rnacentral:rRNA from 1 species
AUUGAACGCUGGCGGAAUGCUUUACACAUGCAAGUCGAACGGUAGAGGGGGCAACCCCUUGAGAGUGGCGAACGGGUGAGUAAUGUAUCGGAACGUGCCCAGUCGUGGGGGAUAACGUAGUGAAAAUUACGCUAAUACCGCAUACGAUCUAUGGAUGAAAGCGGGGGAUCGCAAGACCUCGCGCGAUUGGAGCGGCCGAUAUCAGAUUAGGUAGUUGGUAGGGUAAAGGCCUACCAAGCCAACGAUCUGUAGCUGGUCUGAGAGGACGACCAGCCACACUGGAACUGAGACACGGUCCAGACUCCUACGGGAGGCAGCAGUGGGGAAUUUUGGACAAUGGGCGAAAGCCUGAUCCAGCCAUUCCGCGUGCAGGAUGAAGGCCCUCGGGUUGUAAACUGCUUUUGUACAGAACGAAAAGGUCUCUAUUAAUACUAGGGGCUCAUGACGGUACUGUAAGAAUAAGCACCGGCUAACUACGUGCCAGCAGCCGCGGUAAUACGUAGGGUGCAAGCGUUAAUCGGAAUUACUGGGCGUAAAGCGUGCGCAGGCGGUUAUAUAAGUCAGAUGUGAAAUCCCCGGGCUCAACCUGGGAACUGCAUUUGAGACUGUAUAGCUAGAGUACGGUAGAGGGGGAUGGAAUUCCGCGUGUAGCAGUGAAAUGCGUAGAU